AUUGAACGCUGGCGGCAUGCUUUACACAUGCAAGUCGAACGGUAACAGGCCGCAAGGUGCUGACGAGUGGCGAACGGGUGAGUAAUGCAUCGGAACGUGCCCAGUCGUGGGGGAUAACUACUCGAAAGAGUAGCUAAUACCGCGUACGAUCUAUGGAUGAAAGCGGGGGACCGUAAGGCCUCGCGCGAUUGGAGCGGCCGAUGUCAGAAUAGGUAGUUGGUGGGGUAAAGGCUCACCAAGCCAACGAUCUGUAGCUGGUCUGAGAGGACGACCAGCCACACUGGGACUGAGACACGGCCCAGACUCCUACGGGAGGCAGCAGUGGGGAAUUUUGGACAAUGGGCGCAAGCCUGAUCCAGCAAUGCCGCGUGCAGGAAGAAGGCCUUCGGGUUGUAAACUGCUUUUGUACGGAACGAAACGGCUCUGGUUAAUACCCGGGGCUAAUGACGGUACCGUAAGAAUAAGCACCGGCUAACUACGUG
rnacentral:rRNA from 1 species